rnacentral:lncRNA from 1 species
CCGGCAAACAAACAGACGUGAUAGAGGGUUUUCGGCUACUUCACAGUCAGAAGCUAGGGUGGAAGGUAUAACUCUAGCCUGCAGGCGGGGGGAAUUAGUACUAUUACCAUGCCGCUUCUCUUAUUUAUAAGAAACUCUCUAUAGAAAUAGUUAGGAUCAGAAGGAUGGAGUCCAAUCCUUUUGGUUCGUUCGGUUUCAAGGGGAUAGU